rnacentral:lncRNA from 1 species
ACAUAAUGGCACCAUUAUAUCGUAACGUAUAAUAGGAAUGCCAUAUGCCCGCACCUUAAAGGUUUUUUAUUUCUAUAAGCACCAUUAAGCCAUUAUUGCACCAUAGGAAUGCCGGGUCAAGUAUUUUGAAUAUCUAAUUCGCACUAUUUUACAUUCGAUCAAACAAUAUGAAUGCGCCAUAUGCUCAAAUUUCAAAUUCAUAUCUU